rnacentral:rRNA from 1 species
GAUGAACGCUAGCGGGAGGCCUAACACAUGCAAGCCGAGCGGUAUUUGUUCUUCGGAACAGAGAGAGCGGCGCACGGGUGCGGAACACGUGUGCAACCUGCCUUUAUCUGGGGGAUAGCCUUUCGAAAGGAAGAUUAAUACCCCAUAAUAUAUUGAGUGGCAUCAUUUGAUAUUGAAAACUCCGGUGGAUAGAGAUGGGCACGCGCAAGAUUAGAUAGUUGGUGAGGUAACGGCUCACCAAGUCAAUGAUCUUUAGGGGGCCUGAGAGGGUGAUCCCCCACACUGGUACUGAGACACGGACCAGACUCCUACGGGAGGCAGCAGUGAGGAAUAUUGGACAAUGGGUUAGCGCCUGAUCCAGCCAUCCCGCGUGAAGGACGACGGCCCUAUGGGUUGUAAACUUCUUUUGUAUGGGGAUAAACCUACUCUCGUGAGAGUAGCUGAAGGUACUAUACGAAUAAGCACCGGCUAACUCCGUG